rnacentral:rRNA from 1 species
UACCAGCUCUCCGAGUGGUGUGGAUGUUUAUUGGGCCUAAAGCAUCCGUAGCUGGCUGGGCAAGUCCCCUGUUAAAUCCACCGAUUUAAUCGUUGGUGUGCGGGGGAUACUGUUCGACUAGGGGACGGGAGAGGCCGACGGUAUUUUCGGGGUAGGGGUGAAAUCCUAUAAUCCCGGGAAGACACCAGUGGCGAAGGCUGUCGGCUAGAACGCGCCCGACGGUGAGGGAUGAAAGCUGGGGGAGCGAACCGGAUUAGAUACCCGGGUAGUCCCAGCUGUAAACGAUGCAGGCUAGGUGUUUGGGCGGCCACGUGCCGCUCUAGUGCCGCAGAGAAGUCGUUAAGCCUGCCGCCUGGGGAGUACGGUCGCAAGGCUGAAACUUAAAGGAAUUGGCGGGGGAGCACCACAAGGGGUGAAGCUUGCGGUUU